AGUGAACGCUGGCGGUAUGCCUAACACGUGCAAGUCGAACGGCAGCACAGUAAGAGCUUGCUCUUACGGGUGGCGAGUGGCGGACGGGUGAGGAAUACAUCGGAAUCUACUUUUUCGUGGGUGAUAACGUAGGGAAACUUACGCUAAUACCUAAUACUACCUACGGGUGAAAGCAGGGGUUCUUCGGACCUUGCGCGAUUGAAUUAGCCGAUGUCGGAUUAGCUAGUUGGCGGGGUAAAGGCCCACCAAGGCGACGAUCCGUAGCUGGUCUGAGAGGAUGAUCAGCCACACUGGAACUGAGACACGGUCCAGACUCCUACGGGAGGCAGCAGUGGGGAAUAUUGGACAAUGGGCGCAAGCCUGAUCCAGCCAUACCGCGUGGGUGAAGAAGGCCUUCGGGUUGUAAAGCCCUUUUGUUGGGAAAGAAAAGCAGCAGGUUAAUACCCCGCUGUUCUGACGGUACCCAAAGAAUAAGCACCGGCUAACUUCGUG
rnacentral:rRNA from 1 species